rnacentral:rRNA from 1 species
AUGAACGCUAGCGACAGGCUUAACACAUGCAAGUCGAGGGGCAGCGGGGGUAGCAAUACCCGCCGGCGACCGGCGCACGGGUGAGUAACGCGUAUGCAACUUACCUAUCAGAGGGGGAUAACCCGGCGAAAGUCGGACUAAUACCGCAUGAAGCAGGGAUCCCGCAUGGGAAUAUUUGCUAAAGAUUCAUCGCUGAUAGAUAGGCAUGCGUUCCAUUAGGCAGUUGGCGGGGUAACGGCCCACCAAACCGACGAUGGAUAGGGGUUCUGAGAGGAAGGUCCCCCACAUUGGUACUGAGACACGGACCAAACUCCUACGGGAGGCAGCAGUGAGGAAUAUUGGUCAAUGGCCGAGAGGCUGAACCAGCCAAGUCGCGUGAGGGAUGAAGGUUCUAUGGAUCGUAAACCUCUUUUAUAAGGGAAUAAAGUGCGGGACGUGUCCCGUUUUGUAUGUACCUUAUGAAUAAGGAUCGGCUAACUCCGUGCCAGCAGCCGCGGUAAUACGGAGGAUCCGAGCGUUAUCCGGAUUUAUUGGGUUUAAAGGGUGCGUAGGCGGCCUUUUAAGUCAGCGGUGAAAGUCUGUGGCUCAACCAUAGAAUUGCCGUUGAAACUGGGGGGCUUGAGUAUGUUUGAGGCAGGCGGAAUGCGUGGUGUAGCGGUGAAAUGCAUAGAUAUCACGCAGAACCCCGAUUGCGAAGGCAGCCUGCCAAGCCAUGACUGACGCUGAUGCACGAAAGCGUGGGGAUCAAACAGGAUUAGAUACCCUGGUAGUCCACGCAGUAAACGAUGAUCACUAGCUGUUUGCGAUACACUGUAAGCGGCACAGCGAAAGCGUUAAGUGAUCCACCUGGGGAGUACGCCGGCAACGGUGAAACUCAAAGGAAUUGACGGGGGCCCGCACAAGCGGAGGAACAUGUGGUUUAAUUCGAUGAUACGCGAGGAACCUUACCCGGGUUUGAACGCAUUCGGACCGAGGUGGAAACACCUUUUCUAGCAAUAGCCGUUUGCGAGGUGCUGCAUGGUUGUCGUCAGCUCGUGCCGUGAGGUGUCGGCUUAAGUGCCAUAACGAGCGCAACCCUUGCCACUAGUUACUAACAGGUAAAGCUGAGGACUCUGGUGGGACUGCCAGCGUAAGCUGCGAGGAAGGCGGGGAUGACGUCAAAUCAGCACGGCCCUUACAUCCGGGGCGACACACGUGUUACAAUGGCGUGGACAAAGGGAAGCCACCUGGCGACAGGGAGCGAAUCCCCAAACCACGUCUCAGUUCGGAUCGGAGUCUGCAACCCGACUCCGUGAAGCUGGAUUCGCUAGUAAUCGCGCAUCAGCCAUGGCGCGGUGAAUACGUUCCCGGGCCUUGUACACACCGCCCGUCAAGCCAUGGGAGCCGGGGGUACCUGAAGUCCGUAACCGCGAGGAUCGGCCUAGGGUAAAACUGGUGACUGGGGCU